AACAAUUGCCUUCAAACUAAAAUAACCUGGCCAAAACUGAAUCGAAUUUGAUUUCAUUAUUGAUGACAAUUUAGAGACGGCUUGACCUCUGGAGGCCAAACCUAUAUUCUUAAGCUUAAAAGAAACCGUUCUGUUGUCAGUUUUUUUUUGAGCAUCUAAUGGAUGCGCUUGACUGCAUUCGUAAGGACAGUUGGCAUCCUGAGCUGCGCAAUAUGCCCGACCCGGGCAAGGCAUAUGCCCCGUGCCAGCGCCCUGUUGUUGCACUCUAAUUUAUGCCAUGCAAGUGGCAAAGGAUCCGCAUAGGAGCUGCCGACAGUCUCUCCAUGUUGCACGUUGGCUGCUUCCUGGUAGCAGGCAAACAGGGUAUGCCUGAUGUCAGCAUGUGUGCCUCUUCACCUAUUCAAAUCGAACAGAGAACUCAAUAGAUAAGCCUGUGUCAUGUUGUCAUCAAAUAUUACUA